AGUGAACGCUGGCGGUAGGCCUAACACAUGCAAGUCGAACGGCAGCACAGUAAGAGCUUGCUCUUACGGGUGGCGAGUGGCGGACGGGUGAGGAAUACAUCGGAAUCUACUUUUUCGUGGGGGAUAACGUAGGGAAACUUACGCUAAUACCGCAUACGACCUACGGGUGAAAGCAGGGGAUCUUCGGACCUUGCGCGAUUGAAUGAGCCGAUGUCGGAUUAGCUAGUUGGCGGGGUAAAGGCCCACCAAGGCGACGAUCCGUAGCUGGUCUGAGAGGAUGAUCAGCCACACUGGAACUGAGACACGGUCCAGACUCCUACGGGAGGCAGCAGUGGGGAAUAUUGGACAAUGGGCGCAAGCCUGAUCCAGCAAUACCGCGUGGGUGAAGAAGGACUUCGGGUUGUAAAGCCAUUUUGUUGGGAAAGAAAAGCAGCAGGUUAAUACCCCGCUGUUCUGACGGUACCCAAAGAAUAAGCACCGGCUCACUUCGUG
rnacentral:rRNA from 1 species